GGCAGGACAUUUCGUUACAAACCGUUCAAGAAUGUUUGUUCUAAACGAGGUUAUCCAUCAACACCGUGAGACAGAGCUAAAAUACAGUCUGAAAACAUCUGACAAGCCUUAACAACGGCUAACAGCACCAAUUCCUGUUCUACUUCUCCAACAUGGUUGUUAACAGCCAGAUCCACCCGCCGCCAGCCCAAACAUCGUCUGACAACCCCAUCACUGUUAGAGAAUCUGUUAGGCUAACAUUUCCUAACAGGCACGCCUGUUAGCCGCUGUUAGACCCCCUAUGAGUUGGUAGGUUAUAUAAGUGCAGCUAAGCCUAAGGGCUUUGUUUACUGCCGCGCCUGAAUGCAUAUCAAAUCACUGCAAGUGGCUGUAACAAAGGUAAUUCAAGUGCACUCCAGAAUCCCGGCAGGGAUGCUGUAUAGUACAUUGUGCACAUUUUUAUAGAGGUAAUAUACUAUGCAGCAUUUCAGAAGGGAUUCGGGAGUCCAUAUGGCAUAUAAUUGUCACUUUUUAGAAAGGAACAAAACAUGAACACAUAGCCAGAUAUGACCAUUGGGAACAUGACUGAAUUUACACAUAUGAGUGGCAAUUCAUGAUCAGUCAUGCUGCAUAAGGAGCAUGACAACUGUCAUGACCAUGACUCUGCCUCAUGACCGGUAACAUGACUGGUCAUGAGGCGUCAUGAGUGGUCAUGAGGCAACAUGACCAGAUCUAUGACAGGAAACCCCGGGGGCCCCUGCAUGACCACAUCCAUGACCAAGUCGUUCCCCGAGUGAUAAUGCCUCGUAUAUAAUCCAGAUGCCUCGGCAAAUGCCUAUGGCACAAAGUGCCCGUUUCUCCCUCCACACACAUGCAUCACCCCUCCAACAACACCCACACCCACAUCUUGAUCUGCAUAUCUCCUCCUGCCACCUGCGAACUCGCCAGGGUCAUCUUACAACUCCACACCCCACACUACAGCCAGCAUUACCGCCAGGGGCACCAGGGCCACCACCCACACUGUAUCUCACAGCAGUGAAUCUUCACCAGCCUGCACUGUAUCUUCACCAGCCUGCACUGUAUCUUCACCAGCCUGCACUGUAUCUUCACCAGCCUGCACAGAUGGUGAUGCACGUGUGUGGUAGCUGUUACAGCUGCAGCCCUGCUGCAGUGGCAUAGGGACGCACUAGCAGAGAACACUCACUCACCGUG
rnacentral:lncRNA from 1 species